rnacentral:tRNA from 1 species
GGGCCACUAGCUCAACGGUUAGAGCAGGCGACUCAUAAUCGCUCGGUUCUGGGUUCGAAUCCCGGGUGGCCCACCA